UUUGAGUUAAAUGGUGAGUAGCCAACUUGGAGGAAGUGAUCAACCCUUGUGAUAAAUUUAAAUUCGCUUCUUUUUACCCCCAAAAACUUUUUACCGUGGGUAAAAAGAAUCUUCUUGGGAUAUAAAAAGAACCAUAUUUAAAUUUAGCCCAAUGGUUGAUGAUGUAUUUUCUCUAAGAAGGCUGCUCACUAUUUAUCCCAAG
rnacentral:pre_miRNA from 1 species